GUUUAUGGCCAUGACACCCUGAACAAGCCCGAUCCUGUCUGAUCUCGAAAGCUAAGCAGGGUCAGGCCUGGUUAGUAAUUGGAUGGGAGACCACCUAGGAAGAUCAGGUGCUGUAGGCA
rnacentral:rRNA from 1 species